GACGAACGCUGGCGGCGCGCUUAACACAUGCCAGUCGAACGGAAAGGCCUGCUUUCCCUUGUGGAUUGCGGGUACUCGAGUGGCGAACGGGUGAGUAACACGUGAGUGAUCUGCCCCCAACUUGGGUAUAAGCCUGGGAAACUGGGUCUAAUUCCCGAUAGGACUGCAGGGUGGUGCCUGUGGUGGAAAACGAUUUUCUAGUGGUUGGGGAUGAGCUCGCGGCCUAUCAGCUUGUUGGUGGGGUAAUGGCCUACCAAGGCGGCGACGGGUAGCCGGCCUGAGAGGGUGGACGGCCACAGUGGGACUGAGAUACGGCCCAGACUCCUACGGGAGGCAGCAGUGGGGAAUAUUGCACAAUGGGCGGAAGCCUGAUGCAGCGACGCCGCGUGGGGGAUGACGGCCUUCGGGUUGUAAACUCCUUUCGACCGCGAGGAAGCCACCUGGUUGGAAGGGUGGUGACGGUAGUGGUAGAAGAAGCACCGGCUAACUACGUG
rnacentral:rRNA from 1 species